AAAGUUUUAUUCUUACUUAAGUGUUUAUUAUUAGGAUAUUUUACAUGUAAAUUUUUGUGGGUGAUAACUGUACCUAAAGGGUAAUUUGUUAUUCGCAGUAUUUGAUUUUAGUAAUUAAGGUAACUUGGAAUUAGUAAUUUGAAAUAUGGUCGACAAAAGUCGUGCCAGCAGUCGCGGUUAUACGUAGGACUUGAAUAAAUAUUAUUAGUGUUGAAGUUAAUUUGUGGCGCGGAAAUUUAUAAUUAAUUUUAGAGGGUAGAAUCUGAAGAUUAAGAUAAAUUUUGAUGGAUAAUGAAGCUUUGAAAUUUAAGGUUUAAACUAGGAUUAGAUACCCUAUUAUUUUAUAUGUAAAUAUAAUACACUUGAGUAGUAAUAGUUAAGUUCUUGAAACUUAAAGAAUUUGGCGGUGUUUUAGUCUUUUCAGAGGAAUCUGUCCUGUAAUUGAUAAUACACAUUAUAGUAAAUUUAAUUUUGUAAUAUCAGCUUGUAUACCGCCGUCGUAAGAUUAUCUUUGAAGAGGAAUAAUUUUCUAGAUAUUAAAAUAAAGGGUAUGUCAGGUCAAGGUGCAGUUUAUGAUUAAAUGGGAGAUGGAUUACAAUAAAGAGUAAUUUAAACGGAUAUUAUAUUGAAAGGGAUAAUUAAAGGUGGAUUUGAAAGUAAUGUUGUUAAAUUAUGAUAAUGUGAUUUUAGCUCUAAGACAUGUACACAUCGCCCGUCGCUCUCAUUUGUUUAAGGUGAGAUAAGUCGUAACAUAGUAGAUGUACUGGAAAGUGUAUCUAGAAUGU
rnacentral:ncRNA from 1 species